GACAGUGUGGUGUAGUGGUUUGAGCAUCGGACUAUGACUCUGGAGACCAGGAUUUGAAUCCCAGUUCAGCCA